GUCAGUCUAGCAUAGUGGUUUGAACAAUGAACUACAACUCGGAGACCAGAGUUCGAAUCUCUGCUCAGCCA